GACGUAGGAGGCGAGCGUUAUCCGGAUUCACUGGGCGUAAAGCGCAUGUAGGCGGUUGCACAAGUCCGUUGUUAAAGCCCCUGGCUCAACUGGGGGAGGUCAAUGGAGACUGUGCGACUUGAGGGCAGUAGAGGCACGUGGAACUCCCGGUGUAGCGGUGGAAUGCGUAGAGAUCGGGAAGAACACCAACGGCGAAAGCACUCUGCUGGGCCGACACUGACGCUGAGAGACGAAAGCUAGGGGAGCAAAUGGG
rnacentral:rRNA from 1 species